rnacentral:lncRNA from 1 species
AAUAUGUCUAGGAUAAGUGUGUGAGUACUUCUUGUAAUCAUCGUUCUAUAGUGGAUUUGUGUUGGAUUGAGGAGUCCCAUGAAUUUUCCCCAUAUGUGGGGUUUUACCACGUAAAAUAAUUCUUUGCGUGUUUCUUUAUUUUAUGUUCAGCACGUUUCAGGAUUGAUAAGUCAUAUCAAUCCUACUACCGAAGUUUAAUUUUUGUUUUUUGAUUAUAAUCUUUAAUUGGCC